rnacentral:lncRNA from 1 species
AAAGUAAAUAUAAUUAUUUUUAAAAUUAUGCAUAAUUUAUGAAAUUAUGUUUGAAUGAAAAGUGAUUCUGAAAUAUCAUGGUUUAUUGAUUAUGCAUAUGUUUAGUAGAAAUUAUGAUAUGUUAUGAUACAAAAGUAUUUGAUACAGAUCGAAUUUAUGCUCUCAGCCUAACUAUGUUUCAGUGGACCCCACCAAUGAGGAUCAUAUGUUGGUACUCAGUGGAUCCUGUCAGUGGGGGUUGUGUGCUGGUGUUCAGUGGAUCCUGCCUCCCCUCUGACCCUAUUUAAAGGAAAGAUAUCUUUUCUCUUCCUCCCAUCAAGAAAUCAAGAGCCAAACGAUGAGGAUCACCAGAGUUUUUCUGCAGAAGCCUUCACCAUGUUUGCCUCAAUUUCUCAUCGAAGACAUCACCGGAGCUCGAGGUAAGCCCCAACUUCUCUUCCUCUCUUCUCCCCCUUCCUUUCUUUUCAGAGCCAGUCUUUAUAGUUUGUAUCGAUCAACCUAUUGGUAUCGAGGAUACAGACUAAAGGGUUGGAACUUGACAUGGUUAAAUGCAGAGAGAAUAGUUUCUAGUUAGAUAUUUAUACUUAUAAAAAUAUUUAUUCUAGGAACUUUAAAAAUAAAUAAAGGCUCUCACUAUUUUCUCGAAUCUCCUAUACUCCUCGAGUGGAGAAACGAAAAUCUAUACGUGAUUGGUUUCAAAUGGGUACUGCAGUCCCAUUAAUCUAUACAUACCUCACCUAAUAGUUAUUGAUGAGCACAGACUAAUGAGUGGAUAAUACUUUGUCCAUUGCUUUACUGAACAAGAUGCAGUGAGCUUGGUUUCUAGGUCUUGUGACCUCACUUAACAGUUAUUGACAUAAUUCUUAGUUAAGUCAGAUCCAUCAUUCAUCAAUGAGCACAAAACUGUAAUUGAGAUCCUCACCUAACAGUUAUUGGGUACAAUCCCUUCUCUACCUUGGGAUAUCAAAUAUUAAUAGAGUGGUUGUACCUUCUCAAUGCAACUGAACUACUGUAACCAGCCGAGAAUGAUCAAUGCCAGGAAGGCACCUGUAUCUCUAUAACGAUGGAAGAUCUCUAGACUUAAUAUUUAGUGAGGAGAUUUAGAUUUAGGUCUCUUCUAAAUCAGCAGAUCUGAUAUCUGACUGAUCAAAUUUAGAUCAGCAUAUCAAUAUGUCUAACCAGCC